rnacentral:rRNA from 1 species
CAGAGGUUACUGCUAUCGCAGAUUCGACUAAGCCAUGCGAGUUGAAUGUUCUUCGUGAACAUGGCGGACUGCUCAGUAACACGUGGACAACCUACCCUUGGGUCCGGCAUAAUCCUGGGAAACUGGGAAUAAUUCCGGAUAGGUCACCGAUGCUGGAAUGCGCGGUGGCCGAAAGCUCCGGCGCCCGAGGAUGGGUCUGCGGCCUAUCAGGGUUGUAGUGGGUGUAACGUACCUACUAGCCUACGACGGGUACGGGUUGUGAGAGCAAGAGCCCGGAGAUGGAUUCUGAGACACGAAUCCAGGCCCUACGGGGUGCAGCAGGCGCGAAAACUUUACAAUGCGGGAAACCGUGAUAAGGGGAUCUCGAGUGCCAGCAUAUAAUGUUGGCUGUCCAGAUGCCUAAAAAGCAUCUGUUAGCAAGGGCCGGGCAAGACCGGUGCCAGCCGCCGCGGUAACACCGGCGGCCCGAGUGGUAACCGCUAUUAUUGGGUCUAAAGGGUCUGUAGCCGGCCAGGUAAGUCCCUUGGGAAAUCUGGCAGCUCAACUGUCAGGCUGCUAGGGGAUACUGUUUGGCUUGGGACCGGGAGAGGUGAGAGGUACCUUGGGGGUAGGGGUGAAAUCUUGUGAUCCUCGAGGGACCACCAGUGGCGAAGGCGUCUCACCAGAACGGGUCCGACGGUAAGGGACGAAAGCUAGGGGCACGAACCGGAUUAGAUACCCGGGUAGUCCUAGCCGUAAACGAUGCUCGCUAGGUGUCAGUCACGGUGCGACCGUGAUUGGUGCCGUAGGGAAGCCGUGAAGCGAGCCACCUGGGAAGUAUGGCCGCAAGGCUGAAACUUAAAGGAAUUGGCGGGGGAGCACUACAWCGKGUGGAGCCUGCGGUUUAAUG